rnacentral:lncRNA from 1 species
UCCAGGUUACGAUACUGUUCCUGAAAAAGAGACUGCGAUGUUUUGAUAAGUCAUCGCCAAUAUCUACUAUAAAGAGGUUGAAAACUCCAGGUGCUGGAAAUGCUCUUAAACAGAUACGUAAGCUCAGCUCCAUCAGUCUUUUGAAUCCCUUUUGGGAGGUAGAGUCCCAGAAAGAAAGGGCUUAUUGGGACAUUUUGUCGUAGCAUUAUAAUAUCCAGGUUAAAAGCAAACAGUAUUUGAGCCAUUCUGCUUUCAAAAAACCCUGCUGUUUCUAUUAGGACAGUUCCAAAUGAUAUGUUAAUUUUUAAAAAUUAUUGUUGAGUUUGCUCAUUCCAGCUGUCUGGACUGCCAGAAAUACAGUGUCUGCUCAGCCUUGGGAAGGAAAGUUCGCCUGCUGCAGCCUUGGCCUAAUUGAAUACAAGGACCUGUCAGAGGACAGAACUUGCCGUGUGACCCUCGCAUUUUUCAGGUUGUCAUUCACGCUCCGAUCGUGCCUCGAUGGCUUUCUCAGCUGUCUGAACUGAAGAGUUUGCCUGUUUAAAAUAUUUUGGAAUCUAUCCACUUUGGCUUUUCUCUACACUUAUCGUGGCAUUGAAGAGCAGAGCUGGGCAUUUAUCCUGCUCAGCGGAGUCCUCAAUUUCAUUCCCAUCUGGAGUCACACACCAGUACUUGUGGGGCAAUUACCUUGGCGGAAGAAAGCGUUAUGGAACUGAUCCUCUGAACUUAGUGAAAAUCUACGAAAGAGGGUUCCAGCAGGAUGAUUUCUGUGACUGAGACACACCACGUUGCCUACGGACUGCUGCAUUUAACCAGUGGCAAAAUCCAGGGUUUCAGAGUGUGCUCUUAAAAAUAUUGGAGCCAACCUGUGACAGCCAGAGGAAAAACAGGAGUGGACAAUGAAGUCUGUGAUGUCAAGACAGACACAUAAAGGAAUGAGGUAAGGUUCGGUGUUUGCCUCUAAUAUGUUGUUUCAGGGU